GGGCCAGUAGCUCAGCUUGGAACAGAGCGACUCAAGUGAAAUGCGCGUUUGGAUUCGCAACUCACCGCGCUAAAGCCUUCUAAGCUGUAGGUCCGGGGUUCAAAUCCUCGCUGGCCCG
rnacentral:tRNA from 1 species